CUUGGGAACCGGAAUCUUGUUAUGGAGGAAAAGAGAUACAGAUAUAGUAAAAGCAUAAAAAGGACUAAGUAAAAAACUCUAUAGUUCUGGAUUUUAAUUGGAAAUAUUGGCAUACUAGUGAAUUAACAGAUCCAGACAUCAACUGUUAAUGAUAUCACAAAAGGAGACUCAACCAAACAUCAUAUACCUCUCAUGAAAGAACACAACACAACCUAUCAUCUUACCCCAAGUGAUGAAACCUGAGUUCAAUGAAGCUUCUGAAUCCAGCUGCCAGUUCUCAGGAAAUGCCCAGGACAGAGGAAUAUGCCACACUGCAUCAUGAAUAUGAAAACAGCAAACCUCCCGAUGGUGAAAGGAUGAACCUGUAGAAUGAGAUUUAAAAGAUACAUUAAAAAAUACUUAAUGGGCAGAAAUAUAAGCUUUCAAGUCUACCUUACGGUCUCGGCCUUAGUCACCGUACUGUACAUCACCAGGACGUGUUUGUAAUUCUAAGUUUGUACUUUUUGACCUCCUUUGCCCAUUUCGCCCACCUUCCCCCACUCCGUCCCCCUGGCCACCACCAAUCAGCUUUCUGUAUUUUUUUUUUUAAUGCAAGUUAAUUUUAACAUGUGUUCUA